GGCCUCUAAUAGAGAUGCUAAAUUGCAAAUUUAGCUUUGAAGAUGUAAGUUUUCAGAGGCUUA
rnacentral:tRNA from 1 species